UAAGUAUUAAGUUAAGGAAACUGGAGACCUUCAAAGUCUUUUUUGGAAGUAAGAGCCAUACUUAG
rnacentral:tRNA from 1 species